GCAUAUUAAAUAGAUUAUGAAUUAUUUUGGGAAUUAUUAGUUUGGAUUAUUUUAAUUUGAGGUGAAUAUGUUUAGGUUGUGAAUGACGUUUCAUAUUUGAUAUCGUUGGCAUUUGAGGAUAAGAUUUGGUGGAGUGUGCUAUAAAUCGUUUGGAAGUAUCAGGUACGGAUUUCGUACUCUUUCAGCGAUACUCUUGUUAAAUUUUAUUUGUUCAUUUGUUCCUCGUUUCAAAUUUCUGUUAUUAUUUCACAUAAUUGUUUCUUGUGAAAUUGAUAUAUUUGUUUCAUUUUGGAGUUGACACAUUGGACUCGUACUUGUACUCUUUGAAUCAGGUUAUCAUGUAUAGUAUUUAUUUUGAUAAUUGUUGAGCGGUACAUGUUGCUACCUUCUUUUUGAAACCUUGUGACUAGAAUUUGAUUUGGUUCAAUAUGUACAUAUAGAACCCUUUUGUUGGUAUUAUGUCGCAUGUGUUGUGGCAUAGUAUUUUUGAUAGAAUAUACCGUAGGGUAUACCUAAGCUACAACCAUCUGUGGGGGUACCACAGGCAUGUCAUCUUGGCACGAGAGGCAUGACACUUUCCGUGGCGGUGUGAUUAGUCCACGGCGUCUCCGUUUUGGGCUCCGGAGAAAGUGGGCCAUUUGGUGUUUUGUUGUGGGAGGCGUAUGGGUUAACCCUAGUUUUCUGUUCUGCAAAUUGGUGAUGUUGUGCCAAACACACCUAUCCGAUUUGCAUACAUUUGGAUUCACAGUCCAAUGUGUGAGUGACUGUGUUGCAUUAUUUUGAUUUGCCUGUGUGGCAUUAUUUGAUGUGCCUGUGUGGCAUUAUUUUGGUUGCCUAUGAGGCAUCAUUUGAUUUUCCUGUGUGGCAUUCGUUUGACUUGCCUGUGUGGCAAUGUGUAUUUCUGAGCUCAUUAGGUAUGAAAUAACACCCAACUAUUUGAUUCAGCCUAUUAUCUCAUUGUAUUGGUUUUAUUUGUUUCUAUUCAGUUUAAAUUCAUUGAGUUAGUUACUUCAGUUCAUUAUUUAUUUACUCUUCUGUUGAUUCAGAUAUAUUCCAUUCAGAUCUUUGGAGAUUAUAUUUUUGUCAGUAUCUACACUUGAGGCUUUGUUCAGUAUUUUGUCUCAGUUAUUUUCAUAUAUCAGUUGUAUAUCUUUUGUAUAACUGUAUCCAUACUGGGCAAUUGGCUCAUGCUGUGUUUUUCUUCAGGUAGGUUUGCAGGGGUGAUUCAGGGCUAGUGUGAUGAGAGAGUUGCCUUUGACCACCUAGGUUGUUUCGAAUUUUAAGUUUUGAUUAUUUUGACUCUAUUUGGAGAAUUGUAUUUAGUACGCUAUUAAUGGAUCACCGCUAUUAAUAUUUUGAAGUUAUUAGUGCUCUGUUUACUAAUUUGAGGUUUGUUGUGCUUUGUGCGUGACCUCCAUUUCUUCUUCGGGAAGGGGGUGUUACAUUUCCACUACAGCAAUUACCUCUUUUUGACUUUCUUUCUCUGGGGCUCUCUCAUUUUCUUCAGGAGCAACUUCUUCUGUUAUAGGGAUAUCAUGAUGCUCCCCCUCAACAUGAUCAUCCAUUUGCAUUUUAAAUGGCUCCUCCUCAGCUGGAGCAUUCUCUAAAGUGAGAAUUUGAGGUAGCUCCCCCUCAGCUGUAGCUGUGUCCUCUUGUCUUGCUUCAGAUAGCUCCUUCUCAGUGACUACCUUUUUGUCUUCUUCUUUAAAUACUUAUUUAUUAACAAAAUUUAAUUUUUGACCAAUUUCCUUCUUGGUUUCCUGGGCUGAGCCACAGCCUUAUGACUUUCUCCAGCUUCAGCUCUUAUUGGUCGAUCAGACUGAGAGUUUGUUGCAGCAACUUCUUUGGGAGAGUUGUCUUGUCUGGUCUCUAUAAUUGGUAGGGACUCUAUAAUCGAAGAGACAGAUGGCCUCUUGAAUUUGUGACUGUGUUUACUCUUCUUCAGCAGCUGAGAGAUGGUAGCUUUGUCUUCAUCUGCCUCAGCCUGCUGUUCUUUCCUUAUCAAGAUCCUUAGAGUUUCAAUGUCAGAACAUUCUUGAGGUGCAUCAGUGGUUGAGGGUUCCUCUGUCAUUUGAGCCUUCAGCUUUCUCUUGCCCUUACUUUUUCUGACUAAAGAAAUGGGUUCUUCGUUGUUGAUCUCUUCCUCUUUUUCUUUAGUCUCCUUGACAACAGACAUGUUUCCUGGAAUCCCUGAUUCCUUGGCAUCACCAGUCCUUCCACUAGACUCAUACAUCAUUUUUACAUUCUCUGCUGGAUUCCUUUUCCAGUUCUCGAACAACUGCUGAGUCAUUCUUCUGUUUGGAUUUAUGAAUUCGUCUUCAUCAUCCCCAAUUUUAUCUCCCAAAGCCGACUAUAGGAUGAUGCUAAUGAUCGCCCAUAGAGCAUCUUUCCAGAGCUCUUUUAUUUCUUCUAACGUAGGAUCCAUUUCCCAAUCCAGUCAAAUAGUAGAGAUGCAUAGUUGAGUUGAAUGCCACAGCAUAUGGCUGUCAUGAGCUUGAGUUGUACUUCAUUACAGAAUCAUGGUCAGAGCUCUUGCAGCAUAUUCAUUUCCCAAUAAUAUCUGCCAAGAAUUCAUACCUCUAAGGGAAUUCUUUCUUCUUGUAUCCUUUGACAGUGGGUAACUUCUUGUGGUGCAUUCUCUUAAGCCCUUCGUGAAAAUCGAUGCCCUCUAUGGAAGAAAACCCUUUUGAUUUGAAACCUAGGGCUAGAUUUAUCUCCUCAGACUUGAGCUUGAUUUCCACGUCCCUGACCCUCGUACUGAUGAUGUCAUUCUCGAAUACACCAUUUUUAUAGAAUUCUUUAUCAGCUUAGGGUAGAUACACGUUCUCGUACCCAGAGCCUCUUCAAGGCCAGCUUUCUUUAUCAGAGACAGAGUUUUGAGAAAUUUGGGAUCAGCUGUCUUGAACUCAUCAAAACAGAAUCUGUAACCAGAGAUGAAAUUUGAGGCUGCCAUUGAUUUCUUUGCACUGAGUAUGAUUGUUUGAGCUUUUCGGAAAGUUAGGGUUUCUGCUUGUAAAGAGAAAGACAAAGAGAGAGAGAGAGAGAUGAGGUUUUUGAACUUCUGAUUUCAAAAAGGUGUUUUCAAACUGUACUUAUAACUUCCCUCUCUCUAUUUUCUUAGUGGGGCAUGUGUCAAAUUCUGCUUCGCCCUACGAGUUUGACUGAUGAGGAAUGUACUAAUUUGCCCUUAGCUCCUUCUGAGCUAAUGUGUCCUUUGGGAGGACUACGAUCGUUGAGGUAGUCCUUAUGAUCAUUAAGUAUGCACUGCGAUUGUCGAGUCCGUUCUGCAAUCAUCGAGUCUACUCUGCAUUCAUUGAGUCUGUUCUGCAUUCGUCGAGUCUCAUUUGCAUUCGUCGAGUCUGUACUAAGAUUAUUGAAUUUUCCCGUGUCCUUGUGAUGAACUUUUGACUUAACAUUCUUCUUGGUUUAAAGUAGCUCAGGAAGGGCCAUCCUCAUGGAUUGAAUCAAGGGUUAGGUUUGUUCCUGAGGCACUUAUCAGAGAGAUUGCGUUGUUUUGUUAAACUUUGUCAUCACUGGAUGUUCCUUUGUUUUGUUGAUGGAGCUCUGCCAUCAUUGAGUCGGCACUGCGAUCAUUGAGUUUCAUUUUACUGCAGCUCUACGAUCGUGGACUUCCUUUGGUCAUGUCUACGAUUUUGAGCAUAGCCUUUAUAUCAGCAUGAUUAGCACAUACUAGAGCAUAGAUUUCAUGGUUUUAAAUUAAGCAUGCCUAGCUCACUUAUUAAUUUGUUAAACCUGGAUUCAUCUAGAGGCUUUGUAAAGACAUCAGCAAGUUGAUUUUAGUAGGGAUAUAUUGUAAAGAUUUGGUUCCAUUUUGCACAUGAUCCCUAAUGAAAUGAUACCUUAUUUCUAUAUCUUUAGUCCUAGAAUGCAUGACAGGAUUAUGUGUUAUUGCUAUGGCACUUGUGUUAUCAUAGUGAAUAGGUAUAGAUUUGAAUUCAAACCCAUAGUCUGCUAGCUGGUUUUUCAUCUAGAGGAUUUGAGCACAGCAACUUCCAGAAGCAAUGUAUUCAGCUUCUGCAGUUGAAGUAGAUAAUGAGUUUUGCUUCUUGCUAAACCAGGACACAAGUCUAUUUCCUAGCAACUGACAGGUGCCACUGGUACUUUUUCUGUCUAUUUUGUAACAUGCAAAGUCAGCAUCUGUAUAUCCUGUUAGUUCAAAUGAGGACUCCUUGGGACACCAAAGCCCCAAGUGAGGUGUGCCCUUGAGGUACCUAAAAAUCCUUUUCACAGCAGUUAAGUGUGAUUCCUUAGGAUUAGCUUGAAAUCUAGCACAUAUGCAUGUUGCAAACAUUAUGUUUGGUCUACUUGCAGUCAGAUAUAGAAGAGAGCCAAUCAUACCUCUGUAUUGAGUUAUGUUAAUACUUUUACCUUUUUCAUCUUUGUCAAGCUUGGUUGUUGGAACAAUUAGAGUUUUCAUGGGAGAGGCUGAUUCCAUGCCAUACUUUUAAAGUAUGUCUUUAAUGUAUUUGGCUUAGUUUAUGAAGAUACCUUCAUCAGUCUGCUUUACUUGCAGUCCAAGGAAGAAGUUCAGCUCACCCAUCAUGCUCAUUUUAAACUUGCUCUGCAUAAGCUUGGAAAAUCUCUUGCAUAACUUUUCAUCAGUAAAUCCAAAAAUAAUGUCAUCAACAUAUAUUUGAACUAAUAAGACUUUGUCUUUAUGCUUUCUAAGAAAUAAUGUGGUAUCUACUCUACCUCUAGUGAACCCAUUUUCAUUAAGAAAGUUAGUUAAUGUUUUAUACCAUGCUCUAGGUGCUUGUUUAAGACCAUUUAAGUCUUUGUCUAAUCUAUAGACGUACUUUGAGAGAGAUGGAUUGAUGAAACCUGGAGGUUGUUCUACAUAUACUUCUUCUUAAAGUUCACCAUUUAGGAAUGUACUUUUGACAUCCAUCUGAAAGACUUUGAACUUCAUAUGAGCAGCAAAGGCUAGGAAUAUUCUGAUGGCUUCUAGUCUGGCAAUAGGUGCAAAUGUCUCAUCGUAGUCAAUGCCUUCUUCCUGAGAGUAACUCUUGGCCACUAGUCUUGCUUUAUUCCUGGUUAUUACUCCAUCUUCAUCCAUCUUGUUUCUGAAGACCCACUUAGUUCCAAUGACAGGAUGACUUUUUGGUCUUGAACCAAUAUCCAUACUUUGCUUCUUUCAAACUAAUUAAGUUCUUCCUACAUGGCUUCUAUCCAGCUGGAGUCUUCCAUAGCAUCCUCAAUCUUCUUAAGUUCCAUUUAUGACAGGAAACUCAGAUAAAAACAUUCAUUUUGGGUGGUAGCUCUUAUUUUGACUCUUGCACUACGAUCUCCAAUGAUUAAGUCUUGAGUGUGAUCUCUUGCCCAUUUAUUUCCUGUUCGGACAUCUUUCCUGAUGCCUUCUUGUUUGAGAUUUUCAAGAUCAAUUUCUACUUCUUGAUGUGGAGGUUCGUUAUCUUGCGUAGUCCUCUCUACGAUCUCAUUUCCUUGCUCAACGAUUCCACUAUCUAGAACUACAAUCGUAGUGUUGAGCUCGACGUCCUCAUUUGUAGUGUCUGAACUGUCAUUCGUAGAGUCUUGAGGCACUAUUUUGUCCAAGUUUGUUUCAUCGAAGAUGAUGUAGAUUGAGAUUUUAAUGCUCAGUGUCUUUUUGUUGAACACUCUGUAGGCCUUACUGUCUGUGGCAUAUCCAAGAAAGAUUCCUUCAUCUGACUUGGGUUGGAACUUUGACAAAUAUUGCUUUCCAUUGUUGAGAAUAUAACAUGCACAGCCGAAUGCAUGGAAGUAGCUGACAUUUGGCUUUUUCCUUUCCAUAGUUCGUAGGGAGUCUUCUUAAUCGUAGAGUGUAUCAGUGAUCUGUUCUGAGUGUAGCAUGCAGUGUUGACAACUUCGGCCCAGAAGUACUCAGGCAGAUGGGUUGCUGCUAGUAGAGUUAUUCCAGCCUCUAUUAAUGUUCUAUUCUUUCUUUCAGCUACUCUAUUUUAUUAAGGAGUUUGUGGAGCUAAGAAGUUGUGACUGAUGCCAUUGUGUGUGCAGAACUGGUCCAUUUUAGAGAAGUCAAAUUAUCUUCCAUGAUCAAUCCUUAUAGCCUUAAUUUUCUCCCCUUUCUCGUUCAUUACUAGUCUGAACAUCUUGAUCAGUUGGGAUCUUGUUUCAGCUUUCGAGGUUAAAAAGAACACCCAUUAGAAUCUAGUAUAGUCGUCCACUACGACUAGUGAAUAUCUCUUCCCUCCAAGGCUCGUUGUUGGAAUAUGUCCAAAUAAAUCCAUGUGAAGCAACAGCAGGGGUUUGUCAAUUGAGUUUGCAGUUUUGCUUUUAAAUGAGCUUCUAGUCUGCUUUCCAAGCUGACAAGCAUUACAAGGCCUUUCUUUGAAGAAGCUGAACUUGGGCAACCCUGCAACUAGAUCCUUUGAGGCCAGUUUAGACAUGCUCUUGAAGUUUAGAUGAGACAGUCUUCUAUGCCACAGCCAGCUCAUUUCUUCAAAUGCUUUCGCCAGAAAGCAUAUUGUCUCGUCUGAGCUUAGUUUACCAAGAUUUAUUGUGUAGACAUUUCCUUCUCUUAUUCCGGUCAGCUUUAUAGCAGAUGUCUUCAGAUCUUUAACUUAACAGUGAUUGUUGAGGAAUCACAGAAGAUUAUGCUGGAGUCCUUCCACAUAGUCUGAGCUUAGUUUACCAAGAUUGUUGACCCUUGUCAUAGAGUUGGCUUAUGCUCAGAAGAUUAUGUUGGAGUCCUUCCACAUAGUCCACUUUGAUGAAGGACACUACACCAUUUCCUAUUGAGCCAUAUCCUCUUGUCUUGCCAGAGCCAUUAUCUCCAAAAAUGACUAAAGGACCCUCCUUUUUUAUGUAGUUAGGCAGAAGGGCUUUGUUCCUAGUCAUGUGCCUUGAGCAUCCACUGUCCAGAUACUAGGUUGUGAUUGUGGAGCUCUAUUCCUGUGGUAGCAUUAAACUUUCAUUUUGGUACCCAUACUUGCAUGGGUCCUACUAUGUUAGUACCCUUGGGAACCUAAAUCUACUUGAUUUUGGGUUUCAUAUGCGUAUGAUUAUAAUAGCAUAUUGCAGCCUUGUGACCAACCUUAUUGCACACAAAACAUCUAAUAUGAUGCAUACUUGUGUGUGUAUGCGGAUUCUUCCUCCAUUUGGACUUUUGUGGGUUAUUAGUCAUCCUUCUGUUAAACAGAUUAUUCUUCUUCUAUAUGUCUUUGUGUUUCAUGAUUUGAGAUGAGUGUACAUUUCCUCUAUUAUUCCUUCCCGGUUGGUUCGUGAAGUUGUUUUUACUCGACUCUACGAUCCUUCGACGUUGGAAAGUAGUGGCUGGGUUACUCUUCUCUUUUCUGAAACCUAGGCCAGCAUGAAAUCCUUUAUUCCUUGGAAUAUGGAUUGAAUCAGAGGAGCAAGGUUGGAUUGGUUCUUCCUUCUGUGAGGAUUUCACAAAUAUAAUGCCUCUACUAAAACUUGAAGCAUUACUAGUGCUAGUUUCCUUUACCAUUUCCACACAUGGCUCUGAGAUGGAUCCCCCAAAGCCCAAUCCUGUUCUGUCAGAGAAGCUUCUCUGGCUAGAGAUCAGGGAGUCCAUGGAUGAAGAGGAUUUAUUCCAUGUAGAGAUUGUCCUUUCUAGUUCCUCAAUCUUAGAGCUUAUACUUGACUCUCUUUAUGCAUUGAGCUCAUUUAUCUAUUUUAGAAGCUUAUUCUCAGCUUUAAACUUGGAGAGAGAGUCUGUACUAAGAAGGACUCCUUCCAGUUCUUCCUGAACUUUUUCUUUCUACUUUUGAAGAAGUGAGUAAUCUUUGGAUAGAACUCAGAACCAUUUCAUGUAUUGAUGCAAAUCAGAUGUUAUGUCAUGCAGUGCAGUUCUUAAGUCAUCCAUGUCUACAUCAGGAGAGUUAAAGUCAAAUACCUCAUUUAUACUCACUUCAUAAAUGUUUGAGGUCUUUUUGUCCUUUGCAUGCUUGACCAUCAGGAAACAAUUUGCCAUUUGAAGAUCUUCAUCAUCUCCAGAUUCGGGAGUUGAGUCAUUGUCUGAGUCACUCCACGAUCCUCCAGCUACAAGACCUUUGUCUUUUUUUGAGUCCUUUUGUUGCCUUUGAAUUCCCUCUUUGGAUGUGAUUCUUCUUUAGUUCUUCUCUAAGAGGUUUGUUUCAGUUUGCAAUGAAAUGUCCAGGCUUCUUGCAAUUGUAGCAUAUAUUAUUUAUCUACUCCUGGCUGCUAUAGUUGUUAACUUUCUUUAGUUUGCUGAUUCUGCCUUGACGCAUGAACCUUCUGAGUAUUUUUACCAGCAUUGCAAAGUCUUCAUCAUCAUCUUCAUCAUAGUCAUAGUCAUUUUCAGUGUUGACUUUGGAGAUUUUGUCAGUUUCUUUGAGAGCAAAUCCUUUAUCCUUUUUCCUUCCUUCAAAUAGAGUUUCUGCUCCUUGAGUCGGCUCCAGUUCAUAGGUAAGAAGAUUGCCAUAUAGCUGUUGAACUGUUAUUUCAUGGAGAUUUUUUGACUCUCUGAUAGUAGUGGUUUUGGCAUCCCACUUGCUAGGUAAGGCUCUCAUGAACUUUAUGAUUAGAUCUUUAUUUGGAUAGAUCUUUCCAUAGGCUCGUAGAGAGUUAAGUAGUAUGUUGAAUCUUUCGUAGGUGGAAGUGACGUUUUCUCCUUGUACAUGUGCAAACAUCUCAUAUUGUUGAGUCAGAAGAGAUUGCUUAUUUUCUCUGACUUCUUCUGUUCCUUCGUGCAUGAUGAGCAAUGCUUCCCAAACCUCCUUUGUUGUUCUGUUGUUGACCACAUUUUUGAACAGAUCAUCUUCUAAGGAUUGGAAUAAAAUAUUCUUGGCCUUCUUGUCGAGUUGAACAUCUCUCUUUUUGUUGUCUGUCCAUUCUUCUUUGACCUUGAUCUGUAUUCUAUUUGGGUCGUCUUGAGUUGGUGAAAGCUUUGUAGGAACGUAGGGCCCAUUCUGAACAGUUUCAAAUAGAUCUUCAUCUAUUGAAUCCAUGUAUGCUUGCAUCCAAACUUUCCAGUUGGCGAACUUGUCUUUGUUGCACAUAGGUGGCUUGUUGCCUCUUCCAGUCUUUGAUUCGCUUAUCAGAUGUGCCAUUGGAUCUACUUAAGCUUUGUAGGCUGUUUUCUUAAAUACUUAGUUAAUUUUGUUAUUGAUUUAAACACAGCGGAAUUAAGAUUUAUUUGAACUCCCUCUUAGAUAUGGUGAGUUAACGAGAGUGAGGUAGUUAUAACAGUUAUAGCAGUUAUGGAAAGAAUUUAAUAGACACAUCAGUUUUAAGUGGUUCAGAGCACUUAAAGCUCCUAAUCCACUCUUCUACUCCUUGAGUAGGAAAUCCACUAAGGAUAUCUUUUAUACUUUUUGAAUCUCACAGAUUCCUUCUAGACCAGCAGUCUAGGCACUUCUUAGUUCACUUUUGAACUCUUCAAGUCCAGCAAACUUGGUUCUUCAUAGUUCACUUAAAACUCUUCAAGUCCUUCUGACUUGGAACUUCUUACUUCACUUGAUUGGUAGUUGAUGAGUUCUUGAUUGGUGCUACUCAGUUGUCAUUAAGCUCUUGUUCAAAAGAACUGAGUAGUUGAGCAAGAUUUUCUCUUUUUCAGAUCAUAGAGUUGAGAGUUUAGCGUUGAGUGUUCUUCAGCGUUUUGUUCAAUGCUUGCUUACUCUCUAUCAUCUGCAGAAGUUUUGCAUAUAUGUUAUCCUUGAAAUGUAUUAGUUGAAUAUAUCCGUUGAAGCAUUAAAUGCGUUUGACAUUUCCGAACUUUGAUGGAGACUUUUCUUCACAUCUUUUGAUUAGUAUUGUGGCCCACUGACAUAGCAAACUGCCAUCUCACCUAACACCUGAAAAGAUGUUUUACUCUGUCCCAUGGUACUUUCCUUAGCUUCUUCAAUACGUUUCUUUGUUGUAUACUAAGGAUAUCUUCUGUGUCAUUGGGACUGGAGAAAACUUCAACGUUUAUAACCUAUUCCACAUUUGUUGGGAUUUAUCUUUAAACAAAUGUGCAAGGUUCGAUGCUUCUGACAUAGACAUAUGAUGCUCUACGAUUCUGAUCAUGGAGUCUUGCGACCUUGAUGCUUGAUCCGAUACUUAGCAAACAAGAGCCCUACAAUUUCUCUUAAGGGCUUGGCACACUACGAUCUUCACUUGCUUGUCCUGCAGACUCUACGUUUUUGAGCGCACACUACGAUCUUUGAGUUGGCUCGGCAAACGUUUGGACCACUCUACGAUUUUCGGAGAGGCCCUUCAAGGCAGACAGACUACGAUCCUCGAUACUCUACGAUUCUGCCUUGGUUUCUACAAACUCUCAAUCAGCUCAACAUACUACGAUUUUGUUGAAGCCUAUCUAGUACAUCUCAAGACAUAGAUCAACCUAACAUCUUUGAUCUCCUCAUAAAUACAUUCAUUUACAAAAUGAUAAACAUUAAAAGCUUAGAUCGACUUAACAGAUUUGAUAUAUCACUAAGUCCUUGUACAUAUAUUCUUUAAAGGACUUUACACAAAAUCAUGACCAUCUACUUUUAAACAUCAAAUCAAAAUGUGUCGUUUCCCAACAAUCAUUAUUUAACCAAAAUAAUGUAGUCAUAAAUUGACUUUAACAUUUCAUGAUUACAACAUGUAUAACAUAUCAUGCUCGCUUACAACAUAUAUAACAUAUCAUGCAAUUUAGAACAGUUCAUCAAGUCCACGUAGAAAAUAGGAACUGAAAGACUUGUCUUGAUCGUUGUUUACCAAUAACAGAUUAACAGCUUACAGCUAUCUACACUUCACGUGCCCUACACAAUUAUAUAAUCAUACACAUCAACUAUUAGUCACAUAACAACACAUAGUAAUUAUAUUGUAAACUCUACUCCACAUCUCAUAAUCCUUCAUGAUAAUUAGCACACAUUGUUCAAUUAGAAUGUGUUAACUUUUUCACUUAUGUAAUAUUCGAAAUUCAUUCAAGUGUUUAAGUCUUGCUAGGAAUACUUAUGGGUUUUAUAUUAAAUCCAUUCCAUAUCUUAUAUUGUUCAUUAACACUUGUCACGGCGUUUCGACGUUCAUUCGUCACACACCCGAAUCAUCUCUCUUGUGUAUGCUUAGUGUGCUUACAUAACUUAUCUAAUACAUCAUUUAUUAAUGUUAAUCAUCAUUAUAUUUACUAACAUUCAUGUUUUAUAACUUAGGACACCAUCUUUUAUCGUCAUGAGCACUACACUUGCAUAUGUGCAUGUCUGACCCAUGUUCCUGACCUCAAAUUGAACACCUGAAAGAUAGAAAGUUGUAGGGCUAUUCGUCCUCGUUCCGGAUUAUCUUGAAUCAAAUUAAUCGGAGUCCGUAUGAAAAUGUUAUGGCCAUUUUACUUUAGGAAGUCAAAACUGUCCGGCCGUGUCAACUAUUUCGGUGUUGUAGUGCCACAAAUAAUCUUGGGGGCCACGCUGCAGCCCCCCUUAGCAGUAUGUACGCGUUUUUUUUCUCCAGUUUUACUGUUCUUACGAAUUUUUGACCCUUUCUCCUUCCAACCUACAUAACUUGAGUUAUACACACCCAAAUCAGUCCAUUUUCGAUUCUAUGGAUUCGUAAUUCAUAGAACUACAACGUACUAGACUUAUAACAAUUUACAGAAACACUAACUAGCCUAAAUCUUGACCCAAAACUCAUGUUCAUACUAAACUUUCAUGUUUUAACAUAAUUAGCGAAUUCAUUCACUACGAAUUCGUUUCUUAACCAAAUAUAUUCAUUCAACUUGCAUUCUUUUUAUUUCUUAUCGUAUUAACACAAUCCAUCACAAAUUUUACAAUUAUACUAUGCAUUAAAUAUCAAUUUGAUAGUUUCAAAAGCUAUUUUUUAGAAAUUAAUUCACAGAAAAUCAUUAUGAACAAAAUACCUCUUGUUUAUCAAAAUUACAUGGAUUGAAUUGCUAGAACAAGCAUAUAACUCAUAAUAUAUCAUAAUAUAACCCAUAUUACACAUUACUCAUGCUCACAUCAAAUAUUUAAGAAUAAUUUUCAACAUAGCUUUAUAAGCAAACACUAUGAACAUGAUUUCAUCAUGUUCAUCAUAUCUUUGUGAAUUGAAACUUUUGAACAACUAUAAAAUCUCAUGUAAGCAUAUAUAUAUAUAUAUAUAUAUAUAUAUAUAUAUAUAUAUAUAGACACACACACACACACAUCCCAUUCACAUAUCAAAAUUAUGAAGUUUCACCAAAAGAUUUUUACAUAGAACUCUAAAACUAUGAAAACAUAAAAAAACAUGAUUUUAAAACUUGUUUUUACAACAAUUGUAUUUUGAAAAUCCUUUCAUGGCAUACAAUCAAAUAUGAAAACAUAUGAACACCACAUAUACAUAUAAAUUCAUAAUCAUGAAAACCUAAUUUUACAAAGACUAAAUACAAAAUAUCUUAAUUUAGUAUAAGGGUUAGUUUGAUACCUUUCUAGGUUGAAUUAGGAGAAAAGAUGUAGAUGAUGAAAGUUUUUCUUUUGUUUUCUCAAGGUUUCCCCUCUUCUUCUUCUUUCUCUUCUUCUUCUUCUUCUUCUUCUUCUUCUUCUUUGUAUUCUCUCUUCUUUUCUUUGUUCUUAGUUUAGACUUAGGUUUAGAAAACUAACGUAACUUAGUGUAUAUACAAUAUACAUAUAAAACAUAUAAUUAUAAAAUAUGUAACUCCCAAUAUAAUUACAUAUACUAAUUAUCAAUUUAAUAUAUAAGUUACAAAAAUUAUAAUUUUAAAAGCCAUAAGGCUUGUUUGGAAAAACUAUAUUAUUUUAAAAUCAGAUUUUAAUAGUUAGGGUCUUGUUUGGGUAAAACGAGUUUAAAAAAAAAGUAAGGCCUUGUUUGGGAAAACAGUUUUAAAAACUCUUUUAAUAGACCAUUUAACACAUAUUCUUAUUGUUAUCCUUUAAUUAAUUAAAUCUUAACAUUAAUUUAAUUAAUUAAAAGUUUAACAUCAAUUAAUCACAUAAAAUUGUCACAUUAUAAUUACUCGCUAAUUAUAGCUUCAUGUAACAAUUACCACAUCACUACAUUAUCUCAAUUAAGUUAGAACUAUAACCUAAAAUCAUUACAUAUUAAUUAAAUAUUAAAUAAUCAUUUAAUUAAUAUAAUAAACUUAAUUACAUUACUCCAUAUUAAUCACAUAAUCUCAAUAAAUAAUUCAAUUAAAAUAUUUAUUUACUUAAAUAAAUAUUAAAUUAACAUUUAAAUUCUCUUCACACCAAUUCAAAUAUUUCACAAUAUAUAGCACAUAUACACAUACUCGUACUUAAACAUCUUAAAAUAAGAAUUUUAUUUAUUAAAUUCUCAUUUAUUAAUUCUUAAAAAUCUGGGAUGUCACAUCCUUCCCUCCUUAUAAGGAUUCCGUCCUCAGAAUCAACGAAACCUCCCUUACUCGAUUUUCGCAAAAUCUCUUUCACAAUUAUCGUUGAAUAACUUCAACACGUUAACUUAGCAAAAAGUUUUACAUAUAUAUAUAUACUUCCUUUAUUUCUUCAACAACUUUUAGGUUUUAUUACAUAACCUUCAAUUAAACAUAGUCAUAUAUCAAAUAUUAUAUAUUCUUUAACCCAUUCAUUUCCUUUUCUAAGGAUCGUUAUCAUAAACACUCGGGAUAUUACAUUCACCCUUUCUUCUAAGAAUUUUGUCCUCGAAAUUUUAUUUAUUAAUCUUCAUUCAUUCAAUCUAUCAAAAUAGAUUUUACGUUAAUCUCUAUUCACUUGAUUAAAGCGUUCUACAACUACUUCUUUCUAAUGGUUAUUCUUCUCGCUACAUUCUCCAUCAUAAUAAUAAGAAUCUUCCAAAAUUGCUCAAUAAUUGGGAAGCAAUAUAAAUAACUCAGGAAUUUAAAAGGUUCUUAUAAUGUUGAGUGGUCGCAAGACCUUGAACUUCUUUCUAGGUUUAAUAGUGCUUCACCCCCGGUACUUCACACUAUAAACUGCAUCGGUACUCUAGGUGGCUAGCCUAUCAUACCACUACGUCGGGCCCAAAUGUAUUACAUCGUAACGACUAUAUGCGUUACAUUCGGAACUAUUGUCUCCGAUAACAUGUCCCCUUUUAUAGGGUUGUUCACCUCAGCUUUUUAACAUCUAAAUCCACACCAAACAAUUUUGUUUGGCAUAGUUUGACCAAAAACGCUCGAAUUCCAUAAACAUCUUUCAAUAUUUGUCUAGUUGAAUCAAGUAGCAUAGACUUCUAGCAAAAAUUCGGACAUCAAUCAAAAUAUAUAUAUCUUUAACCAACUCAAAAAAACAUAUUUUGUUUCAUUUAAGGAAACUAAAAAUAAAUAAAUAAAUCGUUUCAUAAUAUCAUGAUACCAUACCGUAGUAAUGGUAUGUUGAGGAUUUUGUCAUUACAUGACGUCGUCAUACUACAUCAUACCAUAGUGGGCUGACGAUCAUAUGAUCACAUCCAACACUAUGUUUAACUGCAUUGAUGACUUCCUCGUUUGUCAAAUCAACAUCAUAUUUAGUGAUGCCUUAUUGACUACGGAAAAAGAAACAAAAUACAUUUUGAUAUUUUUAAAUCAUUUUUUGUCUAGCCGAAACAAUUACAAUAGACAUACGCAUAACGAUAUUGUUUUUGAAAAUCAUUGGUUCCAUCAUUUGAUUCAAUGUUUUUCAAGAAAAAUAGAAGUGUAAACAUCAUCACGAAGUCAAUAAAUUUCGAAAAUCUAGCAAAGCUAGAAGAUUUGGAAAACAUAUGUCUCCACCAACAACUCUACUUUCUAUAAUAAUCCUUUGCUUAAUAAUUCUAUCUAUUCCUAUAAUCCUCAAUUCUUCAUUCACAACUUAUCUAUACCCCAGUAUAGCUCAUCAAACUUACCACACUUUGGAAGUUCUGGAACUUACCACAAUAAUAUGAGUUUAAGAACGUAUCCUAGUCAGACCAUAGGCUUCCAUUCGCCGAGGGGUUCAAAACAUUCCAUAUUGUUAUGAGUCACAAACUUACCAUAUGCAUUAGUUUUAAGAAUCGUACCUAAUCUUAAUAUCGUCUAUCCUAACCUUAAAAGCCUCUAACUAUCAAAUAUACACAUGAGAAAAGAAUUACCUUUCCACCACAUAUACAUUGAUAGCGCGACACCAACAUUCCAAUAAUUAUCAAUGUAAUAAACCAAGUAUAUGCACCAAAUCUCUGCCCAUACAAACGUUUGUACAACUCAGCCACCACAUGAGUACUCGGUUGAAAUCCCACUUAACUCUAUCUUACGUAUAAUUUCUCGGCCUAUACUCGAUACAUACUUCUUUAUCUCAUCAUUUAUAACUCCUCGUGAGUUAAUCUCGUACUAUAUCAUAGUACAUUCUCGUUAUAGUUCCAAACUAUAACCAUUCAAUCAUUACCGACCAUCUGUCUUUUACAACUUUAAAACGAAUCACAAUGUGAUCUUAUUCUAUAAUCAUCUCCCUUCUGAUUCUUUUCUUAUCUAAUUAUCGUUUUGUUUUAAAAACUUCUUAUCUUUACCUUUCAUCAUAUCAUACUAUGAUUUCAUUUAUGCUUUUGAUCUUAUAGACCUUGUCUAUUCAUCGUUAUUCGUCAUCUUGAUUAUUGGAGGUAGGAAACUCCUGAUUCUUAUCUACAUAUCUCUUCAAGAUUCUUCUUUGAAUCUUCUUGUUUAUUUAUUAACUCUUCCUUUAAGAAUUUAAUAUAAUUCACGUUACUCAAUAUUUUAUUCGAGUUUUAUCCCUCGCCAUUCUAAUAUUCUUCUUAUAACAUUUCUAGGACUAAACUCAUCCUAUACAUCUACGUAUGUGAAAAAGAAUCACCUUUUCAUUAUACGUAACUUAAACUUAACUUCUUAUUCUUUUAACCUAAGUUCAUAGCCUAAGGUACUCUUACCUAAGGUGUAUAACAUAUCAACUUUGAUACCAACUAUAACGACCACAAAAUUCAUAUAAUAAUAUUCUCCUUCUCGAUCGUUAACAAUACAAAUUUAAUCUAUCUUUACAUCAUUAUUCGAUAUUAAAAUCACUAAAAAUGCAGAAUAUUUAAAACUUUUAUACAUUUCCUUCUGUAUUACCCUAAAUCGCAACCUUUACAUUACAUCUCUUCGAUUCAAAUUUAUAUCAUGAAUCGUUACAACAAAAUGACUAUACAAAGUCUUACAUCAUAAAUAGAUAUCCAUAUACACCGGAUAGCUCAACUUAUAAUUCAACAUGUUACAUUCAAAAUAUUAAAUACAUUUCUCAUAAAACAUAAGUAAUCUUCGUGAAUAUAGAUCUCUAUAAUUCACUUAGCACAUAUCCUUACCUUUAAAUCUUGACCUGCAAAAAUUAUUAUUUGCAAGAGUGAGCUCAACAGCUUAGCAAGUUCUAACAAUUUUCAUGCAUCACAUAGCACAUAAUAAUAUGCCCAACAUACAUAUCCUAAUAAUUAAAGUAACAUGGCAUACAUGAUUUAAUUCAUAUAGAAAAUAUAAAGAAUGAGUUUCUUACUCAAUCAUCAUUAUUUAGCCAAAACAAUGUAGUCAUAAAUUGACUUUAACAUUUCAUGAUUUCAACAUGUAUAACAUAUCAUGCUCGCUUACAACAUAUAUAAUAUAUCAUGCAAUUUAAGAUAGUUCAUCAAGUUCACGUAGAAAAUAGGAAUCGAAAGACUUGCCUUGAUCGUUGUUUACCAAUAACAGAUUAACAACUUAUAGCUAUCUACACUUUAUGUGCCCUACACAAUUAUAUAAUCAUACACAUCAACUAUUAGUCACAUAACAAUACAUAGUAAUUAUAAUGUAAACUCUACUCCAUAUCUCAGAAUCCUUCCUGUUAAUUAGCACACAAUGUUCAAUUAGAUUGUGUUAACUUUUUGACUUAUGUAAUAUUUGAAAUUCAUUCAAUUGUUUAAGUCUUGCUAGGAAUACUUAUGGGUUUUAUAUUAAAUCCAUUCCAUAUCUUAUAAUGUUCAUUAACACUUGUCAUGGCGUUUUGACGAUCAUUCAUCACGCACACAAAUCGUCUCUCUUGUGUAUGCUUAGUGUGCUUACAUAACUUAUCUAAUACAUCAUUUAUUAAUGUUAAUCAUCAUUAUAUUUACUAACAUUCAUGUUUUAUAACUUAGAACACCAUCUUUUAUCGUCAGGAGCACUACACUUGCACGUGCAUGCCCAACGCCUUCCGAUUGCCUCCUAAUACAUAUUAGUCCCACAAAUGACCAUUUUACCCUAGUUCCCGACAUCAAAUUGAACACCUUAAAUAAUGAAAGUUGUAAGACUAUUCGUUCUCAUUCCGGAUCAUCUUGAAUCACCUCAAUCGGAGUCCGUAUGAAAACGUUAUGAACAUUUUACUACAGGAAGUCAAAACUGUCUGGUCGUGUCAACUAUUUCGGUGCUGCAGUGCCCCAAAUAGCCUUGGGGGCCACACUGCAGCGGCCCUUAGCAGUAUGUACGCAUUUUUGUUUCUCCAGUUUUACUGUUCUUACGAAUUUUUGACCCUUUCUCCUUCUAACCUUCAUAACUUGAGUUAUACACACCCAAAUCAGUCCGUUUUAGACUCUAUGGAUUCGUAAUUCAUAGAACUACAACAUACUAGACUUAUAACAAUUUAAAGAAAUACUAACUAUCCUAAAUCUUGAUCCAAAACUUAUGUUCAUACUAAACUUUAAUGUUUUAACAUAUUUAGCAAAUUUAUUCACUACGAAUUCGUUUUUUAACCAAAUAUAUUCAUUCAACUUGCAUUCUUUUUGUGUCUUAUUGUAUUAACACAAUCCAUCACCAAUUUUAAAAUUAUACUAUGAAUUAAACAUCAACUUGAUAGUUUCAAAAGCUAUUUUUUAGAAAUUAAUUCAUAGAAAAUCAUUAUGAAUAAAAUUCUUCUUUUUUAUCAAAAUCACAUGGAUUGAAUUGCUAGAACAACCAUAUAACUCAUAAUAUAACCCAUAUUACACAUAACUCAUGCUCACAUCAAAGACUUAAGAAUAUUUUUCAACAUAACUUCAUUAUCAAACACUAUGAACAUGAUUUCAUCAUAUUCAUCAUAUCUUUGUGAAUCGAAACUUUUGAACAACUAUAAAAAUCUCAUAUAAGCAUAUAUAUAUAUAUAUAUAUAUAUAUAUAAACACACACACACACAUCCCAUUCACAUAUCAAAAUUAUGAAGUUUCACCAAAAGAUUUUUACAUAGAACUCUAAAACUAUGAAAACAUAGAAGAACAUGAUUUUAAAACUUGUUUUUACAACAAUUGUAUUGUGAAAAUCCUUUCAUGGCAUACAAUCACAUAUGAAAACAUAUGAACACCGUAUAUACAUAUAAAUUCAUAAUCAUGAAAACCAAAUUUUACAAAGACUAAAUACAAAACAUCUUAAUUUAGUAUAAGGGUUAGUUUGAUACCUUUGUAGGUUGAAUUAGGAGUAAAAAUGGAGAUGAUGAAAGCUUUUCUUUUGUUUUCUCAAAGUUUCCCUUCUUCUUCUUCUUCUUCUUCUUCUUCUUCUUCUUCUUCCUCUUCUUCUCUUCUGUAUUCUCUCUUCUUCUCCUUUUUCUUUGUUUAGACUUAGGUUUAGAAAACUAAAGUAACUUAGUGUAUAUACAAUAUACAUAUAACACAUAUAAGUAUAGAAUAUUUAACUCUCAAUUUAAUUACAUAUACUAAUUAUCAAUUUAAUAUAUAAGUUACAAAAAUUAGAAUUUUAAAAGGCCUAAGGCUUGUUUGGAAAAACCAUAUUAUUUUAAAAUCAGGUUUUACUAGUUAAGGUCUUGUUUGGGUAAAACAUGUUUAAAACAAAAGUAAGGCCAUAUUUGGGAAAACGGUUUUAAAAACUCUUUUAACUAUUUUAAUGGACCCUUUAACACAUAUUCUUAAUGUUAUCCUUUAAUUAAUUAAAUCUUAACAUUAAUUUAAUUAAUUAAAAGUUUAACAUCAAUUAAUCACAUAAAAUUGUCACAUUAUAAUUACUCGCUAAUUAUCGCUUCAUGUAACAAUUACCACAUCACUAUAUUAUCUCAAUUAAAUUAGAACUAUAACCUAAAAUCAUUACAUAAUAAUUACAUAUUAAAUAAUCAUUUAAUUAAUAUAAUAAACUUAAUUACAUUACUCCAUAUUAAUCACAUAAUCUCAAUAAAUAAUUCAAUUAAAAUAUUUAUUUACUUCAGUAAAUAUUAAAUUAAUAUUUAAACUCUCUUCACACCAAUUCACAUAUUUCACAAUAUAUAACACAUAUACACAUACUCGUACUUAAACAUCUUAAAAUAAGAAUUUUAUUUAUUAAAUUAUCAUUUAUUAAUUCUUAAAAAUCCGGGAUGUCACAAAGAUAAGGCUGAUGAUCGAUGAUCUGAAGCUCCAUCAAAAGUAUGUACAUGCUGGAACUGAUCAAACUAUCCCAUGAUAGCCAAUGAAUGAUAUGUAGUCAUUCCUCUCAAACCAGCCAAGGGCAAGAAGUCCAUACCCACGGCAUGAGUAACAAAAAUGUAAGGGGAGCUGAAUCCUGAACAAGGUAGGAUAGAAAAAGGAUCCUCAAUCAUAGUCGGGAAAAUAAACCAAGAUGUUACAUCUAUACAAUCAGCCGAUUAGAAGGAAUAAGAUAUGGAAAUCUCAUGUGUAAAUCAGUACUCAUGGUGUCUAAAAGUGCCAAUCGGUCUCAGAUGCAUCCUGAACAAGACGUAUAAGAAUACGACACUGCCUCUAAAAAACCCAGUAGGAUGGGUAUGGCAUAAUGUGGCCGACAUUAAAGUCUCUGCAAAGAUCAUAGGAAUAAUUGUACGACCCUCCCUCAGAGCCCUUACUACAAUGAUCAAGUUAAUGUCCAGGUGAUCCAUGUAGAGUGGCAUGUACAAAUAGGCUACAACGCAUAUCAAGAAAAUAUCUACUUGGGCAACCCGCCACUCAUCCUCAGAAAUGGUGAAAUCUCCUAAGUAUACCGAAUAGCUGUCUAUUGACCCGAAAUGAUUAAUCAAGAAAUCUAGAGACACAACAUAUCCUGAGGUUAUCUCAUCCAGGAUGAUUGUACGACGUAAACCUGUCAAUGUCAUGAACUGCUGUCUAAACUCACCAAUAACCACUCUAGCGCAAGGCCUGUCCAGCGAAAAAUCCAUAAUGCGCUCAUACUCCUCUAAUAUCGGAGUCAACUCAUGGGUCUCGACUCUGAAGACUUGCCUCUUGGGAAUCCAGCAAGAUAGCAUCUCCUCUAUAAAACCCACCAGAACCUGGAAGGUAAGAAAAGCUAUAAAGUGUCUUAGCAUAUGAUCAACGGUCAUCCGAUCUAAAUGAGGCAAACUCUCAUACGAAGACCUAAAAUAUUAGGCUAUCUAGGUGGGCGGGCUAUGCCCAAUAUGGGUAAAAAUGGAUGAAGACAUCUGUAGAACCGUAUCAUGAAACCAUCCAGCGGUCAAUGCUAAACUCAUCAAUAUACAUGCAUAUCCAUGAUAUAUAGUUAAUGCAUCAUGAUAAAUGACAAUAUGAUGCAAUAAAUCUAGAGCAUUAUACAUACAUUUCUAAAUACAUCAUAGGAUAAAGAUACGUACAUCAUCUCUGUCUAUAACUAAAAAUAAAAAGUAAAGAGAAAAGGGGCACAUCCGCCCAAUAGCUAACAAAGGCCUAUCAAAAGAGAUAACGAGAACCUAUCAAAAGAAAUCUAUGAUGUCUACAUCAACUAGCCUAUCAACUUGCUGUAACUCUUCUCGAGUCAUCGUAUCUCUGCUAGAGGGAAUAUCCGGUAGAUACAGAGGGGGAUAUGCUCCAGUGAAACUGUCAGAAUAUGGGUCACGUGAGGGACCAGUGCCAGAGGGGGAUGGAUCAAAAAAAUCUUCCUUUGACGGAUCUCAGCCCAGAUAACUGAUGAAAAAAUGUGCCCGGUCCAACCUCUGGGUCAAGCUAGCAAUCUACUCUAAAUAAGUAAGCUGUCUAACGAAGGCAAUCUAGUCUGUCAUCAUCACAAACCCGGGAACCAUGUUCUCCAGGAACUGAGUGGCGUAGGUUUGAGCCCCAAUGGUGUGAGGAGUCCACCAACGAUUGAAAGCAUCCUGAGUGAAAGGACCCUCUGAUAAAGAAAAGCUAUCUAAGCCCACCAAGAGAAUCUGUAUGGCCAGCUGAGAUAAAGACCAAUGGCAUCUAGCAGGAGGAAGAUAUGGAAUAUGAAUCUCCCUUUUUAGUGCUCCUAAAAAGGGAGCUCCCAAUCUCCCUCGAUCAAGAAGGGGAUCCGAUGAGUGGACAAUGCAUACUAUGCCCCGAUCAGAAAAUUGUCCUAAAAACCAACAGUCAGAUGAUUUGGGGUGUAAGAAACCUAUGUGAUGACAUCAGUAGUCAACAACUCUAACUAUAAAUGAGAAUGAGUAAACCCCUCUGCCACAGGGACCUCUGCUAAGAUGGAAUAAUGCUAGCACUGUCCCUGCGGAUAGGUCUCCAGACCUAAAGUGGUAAUUAGGCAUAGGCAAUGGAGCCUUUCAUAUGCACAAAAAUUUAAAUGCAAAGAUUAAAUGUCAUCAUUUAUGAAUACUGACAACCCGAGUAGAGGGAAAUUAAAAGAUAAAAGGAAAUUACUCACCAGCAAAAUUAGGUAAAAUCCUAGCCAAGCCUCUAUCACACCCUCUAAACGUAGGCACAUCCCUCAAAGAAAGUAAGCAAAGGGGAAUGAACCUUAGUCAAAGUCUCUGAUGCGGUCCACAUCACGAGUAGCACUAACAAUAGCAAAGAAGAUCGUUGAGGAGGAUUUGUCUGCCAAGAAGCAACCCCUAAGGAUGAUCAAGAACAAUCGCCAAAGAAUGCGAUCUCUAUCCCUCUAAUCAAUAGGCAGAGGCCCGAACAAAGCUCCACUCGAAGCAUCAAUGCUCAAAGGGCUAGAACGGACAGCCCGACCCUUGAGGGCCGAAGGAGGAACUCCUAAGAGGGAUCGAACUGCAACUGGUGAAAUAUUAGCCACUAAGGGCACCAACUCCCCUGUAAAAUCUAAUCCAGUGAUGAACCGCUAAUCCAUCGGUGUCAUAAUCACCUCGUAGUUCAGUAAAUGGAGAGACUGAGUCUAGUGAUACUAGUGCUCAGACAAAGCCCUCAGAUAACCCUAGGGACAGCGACGAGGAGUAAUAGAAAAGAAAGCCUGAAAGCCCCAAGAGUGGACAAUCUCCUGAUACUUCGGAUGAAGGGUCCGGUAUAAAGAAUGAAUUCUAAACCAGUUCCCCCUUAGCUAAUUGAAGUCAGGAACCUGCAUCAAUUUUCAAUCAAGAUUAAACCUUUGUUCCAAAAGUGGAGAAAGAAGAAAGGCGAAAAUGAAAACUUCUAUUGCCUUGUUCGCGUGAAGAUAGAUCGACGGGUGAUAUCUCAAAUCAUCCAAAAGAUCUAAAAUCAUCACAUUAAUAGCAGAAGUGUGAUACCCCCAAAUCCGGGUACAUUUUACCUCAGAUCUGGUACAUCAUUUCUAUAACUAUUGCGAAAGAUAUAAACAUAAAUUGUUUAUACAUUAAACUUUUACACAUCAUUCCCAAGGUCUACAACCUUAACUAAAUACAUACCUUCAAUAUCUAAAAAGGUUUAUAAUGCUAUUUUUGUCAGAAAAUUUAAUACAUCUAACUGCACCAUAAUUUAAUCUUGCACUUUGCCUUUACCUCUGUCCUUAUUCAAGCUUUCAUCUUAAUCUGAAAAUUUUAUCAUGAUAUAGCAAGGGUGAUCAACAAAUUUGCCCAACAAGUUUUAAAUACAAUGGAGAUAUAUCAUGAUUGAAAAGAAUGAAUAAGCUUUCAAAUUUUCAACAAAAUAAUAAUUGUGAAAUAACAUAAAUCAGGUUUCAAUAAUUGCACAACUGAAUCAAUAAUGUUUGAAGGUCAACAAUGACCAUGAACAAUUUAAUUGAACCUUAUGGUAAUGAAGGUGAUCAGCCUUUCAUACCUGAUGAACAUAUACAACAUGCACUAAGUGUGAAUCAAUAAUCUGUAUAAAAGUGAAUAAUCAACAACAACUAUUCACUAACAUGCUUUGAACAUACAACUCAAGUUUGAGUUAGGGAAACUUUCCUGAACCGUUGAUUACUGCUACGCAAUCUAAGUUAACGUCCUUAUUGAAAAGACCUAUCAGUUAUAAGAUUUAUCUUUCAAUUAGUAUAACAUGUCUAUUAACUCAUCAUCUUAUAUUAAAUUGUCUAACAUAGUUAAGCAUUAGACAUUACAUUAUAGCCUUAGUAUUAUCAUUAUACUUUGAUAAUCUUUUCAUCACUUAUAACUUAUACUUAUAAGUUUUCCCUUUCUCUAUUAUCGUAGUAAGCUAGAUAACCUUUCAGUAAACUGAAAUAUCAUUUCAGUAAACCGGAUUACGUUUCAGCAUCCUGAAAUUACUAUUUCAGCAGACCACAAAAUAUUUUAGUAGACUGAAACCAUUUCAGCAAUCCAAAAUCCAAUUCAGCACCCUGAAUUCUCAUUUUAGUCUAUUACAAGCAUAACAUAGUUCAUUGAAUACCGAAUUCAAUAAUUAUAUUGAAAAAUAACAUAAAUCUCUUAUUUUUAUCUCCCGUCGAAUAUUAUUAAUUAUGUAAUAAUAUUUUACGCUAAGGUUAUUAAUCUUUUAAUAACAUUCCAAUCAAAUACUACUAAUAAUAUCAUAAUCUAAUAUUAUUAGACAUAUAAAAAUAAUUUAAGUCAUUAAUCACAUUAAUAAACAAUUAUUUUCAAUUGUUUUCCUUUUAUUAAUUAACUUGUUUAAGCAUUCUAAAAUGCCCAUAAACUUCAUAACACGUCAAACCCGACCCAAAACUUCAUCAAAAACUUGCAUAAGCCAUGCUUAAGGGUCUCAAGUCAUAAAUCAUAUUUUUCAUAUUUUCGGACAUCAUAUAUUUACUUAAAUCCAUUUAUCCAUUUAUCAUCAUUUAGAUGAAAAAUAUCAAAUCAGUCCAAAAAAUAUUAUUGUUCUGAGAUUUGAUAGAAUAUAGUUCCAUAUUGAACAUAUAUUUUUUUCCGGAAUUUUUAAAAUCCAUUUACUAUAUUUAAAUAGUCCAUAAUAGCUAAAUAUUCUCGGAUUUUUCAUAAAUCGAGAUUAACUCCAAAAAUUCUGAAAUUUUUACUAUAUGUUCCUGUUAUGCACAUGUACUUCCAGUAUCUAUUUUGUAGUUUUUGGACAUAUACACAGAGAGUUAUUUUGGUGGCUUCAUAAAAAUAGCCCUUCACCGUAAAAUCUAUAACUCUCAAACCGUAUGGCCAAAAAUUAUCAAAUUUUUACAAAACCUUCAUAUCUUCUAAUAUUAAUACUCCAAAUUUUUACAGAAUUUUUAAAGCACAAAAAGUUGAUGAAAUUACCCCCGUUUCAGACUGAUCCAAAAAAGUUUUAAGAAAACGGGACUAUUUUCAUCAAAAUCCACACCACAACUUUUAGAAACAUGAUUUUUGAGUUCUACCAGUUGGGUUUAGUAGUCAACACAUAUAUCUAGCACCACUCUUCGACAGAUCGAGAAAAAGAAUUCAUAGAUCAAAAAUAAUAAACAUUCAAAGCACCUAAAAGUUAGGGUUUUCAAAACUAGAAAAAUUAUUUUUCUAUUCCUUUUUGAUUCCAACCAAAUCAACACCCAAUAUGGGUAGAUCCAUACUUGAAUUCAUAUAAAUCAUAUAGAUUAAAGGGUUUUAUACAUCCAUAUUAUAAACCCCUUUCAUCAAAUCCACAAAAUAAAUUAGAGGAAUUAUACCUUUAUUCAAAAUCCUCUUUCUUCUUCUUCUUCUUCAUUGGAUGAUCUUCUCUUUCCUCUUCUUCUCCCUCAUUGGGGCUGUCGCCACUCUCCUCCUUCUCUCAUGGCUUCGGCCACUUCCUCCCUCUCUCUCUCUCUCUCUCUCUUUCUCCCGUUCUUCUCCUUUUCUUUUCCUCUUUCUCUUUCUUCUUAUCUCUUUUUCUCUUCUUAUCUCUUUCCUCUUUCUUAUCUCUAAUUGCCGUGAUUCUUCUCCGUUCUUUUUCAGCCACGUGUGGCCUCUUAUCUCGCUCAUAUUUUUUUAUUUAAUUGCUUUAUUAAAUAUCCACAAUGCCCUCAAUAAUUGGUUAAAAAAAAUUGGGCCACUUAUUAAAUCUUUUGGGCUUCCAAUUAAUCCUUUGGGCUAUGUAAUAUUUACAUAGUCCAAUCUUUUUCAUCUUAUCUCACCCUAAAUAUUUAAUUAGGUUAUCCAUUCUAAAUAUUUAGAAUUUAAAUCAUCACUCUUGUACAUUAAAUUUUAUAACCCAAUUAAACUUGUUUCAAUUAAGUUAUAAAAUUAAUAACUUGAGAUAAUAAAAAUAUAUCUCUUAACAUAAUAUAAUUUUUAAUAUUAUUAUUCUUCCACAAGUGGGAUUAGUUUGGGCCCUUAAUUAAUUCUGUUGAGCUAGCAAUUUUACUUGAUUUACUUACUAACAAAACUAACUGAGGCUUUCAACCCUAAAUAGAUUGGGUCAUUAUAAUACUUGUCCCAUACAUAAUAUAUUGGGCUAGAUUAAAUAAUUUAAUUGCCCUUAAUCACUUUAUCUACAAGUCUCAUACUUAAUUAAUUAAUUGGGCUUGUUUAAAUAAUAUAACUUCCUUAGUCCAUUAAAUUUUAAUUCACUUGAAUUAAUUCUAUGACCACUAAAUAAAAGUAACCCUUUAGGUCAUUAAAAUCUCAUACCAUAUUUAAAUAACUUAUUUAAGUUAUACAAUUUAUAUUGUAUAAUUAAAUGUAAUUUCCUCUUCCUCUUCAUAAAUUAUUUUCAAACAAUUUAUUUAUAUAUUAAAUAUAUAAUUUAAUAUAUUCAAUCAUUUAUUCAAAUAUGAAUUUAAUUUACUAACUACUUUGAUACCAAUAUACAUAUUUACAUAUUGGAUCUCAUCUCAUAUUUUUACUUUACCUCCUUUGGUAUAAAAUUAAAUAUUAUACCAUUAUCCAAAUAACAUAUUUCACUUCUCAUGCUAAUUUUGACUUUUCUCCAUAAAAAGUCAACUGUUAACUUUGACCAAAAGUCAACCUUUACACAUUUUGUGUUUACUGUCCAUUCUGACUAAACUUGAUGUUCCAGACGCAACCGAGCAGUCCAUGCUUCAAAAUUCUAUCUCUAUCUCUAACUCAAAUUUGGAGUUUUAAUUUACUCCGUUCUUAUUGGUAAUCGUAUUAACUAACGACUUUAUACUUAUUCAAAUUCUUAUUUGUCAGUCAAGGCCAACGUUCAAGCUAUGUUAAUUACUAACAUAGUUUUUAUCUUGAACCUUAUAUCAUUAACUUAAUUCAUCAUUUCUCUUGCUAAAAUAUAUAUAGCACCUUACUAAGUAUAUAUAUUUCUAUACAUAUACUCAUCUUCGUUUAACCUCAUAACAUCUCUUCAUGUGAAAUCUUAUCUCCUUAAGAAAAUUUUCAUAUGUACUUAUAUAACAUAUCUUAGACUAUUCAGUUCACAUUGAAUUUACAGGUAUCGUAAUACCUUAUUCUUGAUAUUCCUUCAACUACAUAUUAAUUCAUUUCUAAGGUUUUGGAAUUUUAUAACCCAUAUUUUCUCUAAUCUCAUUCGAAUAGCAAACCAUGUAGGUUUUACUUGAAAAUUUUAAAUAAAUCCUCAAAUUCUCAUCUAGGUUUUAUUUUUUAACCUUUAUUCUAAUCAUUCAAGAUUUUAUGAAUUUUCGAGUUAUCACAGGAAGAUCCUGAUGUGGGGUAGAAGAAAGAGUGGGGUUCUUAAUAGAAACAUCCUCCUCCUCGUCUAUGGCAUCUGUCCUAUCAACCUGAAUAUGACGAAUCACUGACUCAGUCAACCGGUGAGGUUGCCGGGUUGAAUGAUGCAAAGGAACAUUAGAAGUCAUCCUCCUCACACCAGAUGAAACCCUGUAAGAGCUAUAGCUUCUGGGUCUAUCUGAAUCCAUGGUCUGAACAAAACCUCCAAAUCACCUUAAGAAAGGGUGAGGUAUAUUUCAAAUUUAAAGCUAUUAAAUUCAAAUCAUUACAUAAUGCAUAGCCUAUGUGAUAAAUCAUGCAUUAGUUUAACAUACAUCCCAAUAAAGUUAAAUUUGCAUGUACAUUAAAUGGCCAGACUCGUGAAAAUUUUUUGCCAGUCUCCUUUAUAAAAUGGACUGUUCGCAUGCACAUAGGCAUGACUAGGUGGCCAUUCAGCAGCACAUUAACCCAACAUCAAAAGAUAAAUGUUAAAAAUCAAAAGUAAAUCACAAUGGCAGCCAAAUUACCAUGUGCAUUUUUUUUAUGAAAAUCCAUGCUCAUUUGUCCUUAAAUAGGAUAUAAAGUAACCAAAAAGGGCGAAAAAUUGACUCUCACAAAAAAUGAAAACUUUUCACAUCAGAAUGUUUAACAUGGUAAAAUAUAAACAUUUACUAGGCUCAUUCAUAUUUGAUACACUGCAUUUAAACCCAUAUUGCAUGAAAUCAACAAUUCUAACAAUCAAAACUUGAAAAGAAAGGAUGUAAACGUUACCAGAUUUGUGCAGAACGAGUGUACGGUGAAGGAAUUUGCGAAAAGCAGCCCGAACUGAGUAGUUCUGAGAUAGAAGGUUUAGAUUUUUUAGAGGUUUUCUAGUUGAAAAUGACUUCUGAAGGGCCAAGGGUAGUUUAAAUCCACCCACGGUCUGUCACGAGUCUACCUAUGGCAGCCGCUCAGGGUGGGUCCUACCCCAUUCGCCUUGAUCAAAUUUGAGUUACAACAGAGUCCCCUGAAGCCAAAAAGUCAAAUCAGGAAAAAAGGUUCUUCGCGAUUGAGCAGAAAGAGCCUAAAACCCUGAAAUGAGACGUAAAACUUUGGAAGUCUAAAAAUCUUUUGCAAACCAUUGACGACAGCUUCGAUGUAGCAUCAGGGAAUAUUCCGGUGGUGUAAACUAUUGAAAACUACUUCAGUAAAGAUCAGAGUAUCUGAUACUGCUAAUCGUUGGCAUUAAUCCAGCGUAGCAUCGGGGAAUGGUCUGGUGAUAUAAGCCAUUGAAAACUACUUCAGCGAAGAUCAGAGUAUCUGAUACUGCAAACCAUUGGGGAUAAAUCCAAUGUAGUAUUGGGGAAGGGUCCGGUGGUGUAAGCCAUUGAAAACUACUUCAGUAAAGAUCAGAGUAUCUGAUACUACAAACCGUUGGCAUCAAUCUAGUGUAGCAUCAUCUGAUGAUGUAAGCCGUUGAAAAACUAUUUCAAUGAAGACCAGGGAAUCGGAUAUUCCAAACCCUUGGCGACAACUCCAACGUAGAAUCGAAAAAACCUGGUGAAGACAACCAUGAAAAACUAUCUUCAUCGGGGAGGACCGAUGAUGGAAUCUAUUAUAAGAGAAAUCUCUAGCUGAAGCACCGAGAAAGAUCGGUGAUGUUGAAACCGUUGUAAACUCCUGUUCGAGUAGGCACCGAGAGGGUUCGGUGAUGGUAAACUUUUGUAAACUACCGUUCGAGUAGGCAUUGAGAAAGUUCGGUAAUGAUCAACCUUUACAAACUACCGUUCGAGUAGGCAUCGAGAAGGUUUGGUGAUGAUCAACCUUUGUAAACUACCAUUCGAGUAGGCAUCGAAAAUGUUCGGUGAUGGUCGACCCUUGGAAACUACCGUUCGAGUAGGCAUCGGGAGGAUUCUAUGAUAAUUGAUCAUGGAAAGCUAUAGAUUCGACAGAAAUACUGGUAUUAACUGUUUAGAAAUCCAAACUGUUGGUGACAAUCCCAACGUAGCAUCGGGAAGGAUCUGAUAAGGCAAACCAGUGAAAACUAUCAUCAUGAUAAACAUUGGGAAUCCCCAAUGAGGUCAUUCGUAAAAAGAAGAAAAUCCUAGUGGAUGUAAAACAAGAACGUGUAUCUGGAAAAGAGAGCAUUGGUAACAACUCCAAUGUGAACAUCAGGAAAGUUCGAUGGUAUCAGCCAUGAAAGUUAUCCCUAACAGAGAGUAGGGAAUGGUUAUUGAUACAACCUGUGGUAGCUAACCCGAUAGAGGCAUAUAACAUUCAUAGCAUAUCAUACCAAACAUUGCACUACAUUUUCAUUUAUCAUAUUUCCAAUGUCUAGUAAUCUUUAUCAUGUUUAUUCCAUUGCAUUGAAUAAACAUGAUAAAGAGGGGCAUCUGUAGACACUUAAAAUUUUGCAUUCCUGUUACUAAUCAUGCAGGAGGCCAAAAAUAUCUUUUAUCUUUUGGAGAUAACCCUGGAAGUCUAAAUCAUUAAACCAAACCCCCAGAAAUAGCCCUGGAGGACUAAAGUAAAUCUCAAACCAUGGAGACAACCUUGUGGGAUAUCAAGUCAGACCCCCAAAGAUAGCCUUGGGAAAUCAUCAAAUCAGGCCCUCGGAGAUAGCCUCGGGAAUUCAUCAAACUAGGCCUCUGGAGACAACCCCGAGAAAACCUUAAAUCAACCUCAGAGACAACCCUGAUGACAGACAGAAGUCAACAACAGUUAAACCCCGGAGAUAACCCUGAGGAAAGACAGUUACAGCAUAUCAAGUGCAGAAAUCAACCCAGAAGGGUAAAACGGUAAUUUUGCCAACACAACAUCAAUUUGGAUAAAACUACUAUGAAUAAUUUCAUACAAAACCAUCAUAACAAUUUCGAGUAAAAAUUGCGCCAUACAGCUCAACGGACUGACUGUAAAGACUCGAAGAUCUGGUCAUGGACUCAUCUUCCUGGAUUUACAAAAGGUUAAAGCCCAUGUCAUUGUGUAGCUCUCAGAAAGAGCUUUUCAAAAAAGUAUGGCAUGCCUCCAUCAGAUUCCCGGAUUGCGAGUUAUGAAGGUUCAAGCAAACUGUGUGUUGGUCGGAGUACACAUACUUCGAGAUAGUAGGGCCCACUAGGCCCAGCCACUGGUAGACCCAUGGCAGUUUGUGUCUAUAAAUACCCCCUCCCCCAGCUCAUUUAAAAAAAGAAAAAGAGAGAAAGGGUCCGGGAGACAAAAAUUAGGCCAUUUGAGAGUGAAAGGUAGCUUUUCUUCAUAUAUAUAUAUAUGAAUGAAUAUGCAAGUAUGCUUGCAUUAAGAAAAGUUGUAAAGUCCUCUGAUAGAUUAUAGAAACAUAUGUACAAGGACUUAGAAUGAAUUGAUCAAAUAUGUUAGGAUGAUCCUACAUAAGCUAAACAACUUUGUAAAGUCCUUAAAAAGAAAUGAUGUAUAAGGACUAUAAAUAUAGAAAGAUCAAGCUUGUUAGGUUGAUCUUAUGAUGUAAUAGAUAGGCUUGUCUGAUCAUCGAGCACUGCACUAGAAAUUGUAGUCUGCCAGGAGAUUCAAGGAAAGCUCGAGAACUAUCAAGGCAGAAUCGUAGUCUGCAAGAUAGUAGAUUUCGGAGUUUGUAGACUGCUAGGAGAGACAAGGAAUGUGACAACCGUAAUUUUGUAAUUUAAUUUUAAUAUUUAUUAGAUUGAAUAAAUUUUUUUUGAUGAAUUAAUUAUUAGAUUAAAUAAUUAAUUGAGGAAGUUGUGAUAGAUUAAUUUAAUUAUAUGUGUUAUAUUUAUUAAUUUGAUGUGGAGAAUUUUAUUAUUUGAUGUUCGUAUUUAUGUGAGCUUAUUGAAUUAAAAGAAAUAUUUAAUAAGCCUAUGUUAUUUUAAUUAAUUCAAUUAUUAAUUAGAGAUUUAAUAAUUUGAUAUUAUUAAUCGAUGAGAAAUUUAAUUAUGUGACUAUGUGCAUUAUUAAGAAAUUAUUAUAUUUUAUUUAAAUAAAUUAAACUAGAUAUUUGAUUUAUUUUAUAACGGGUGUGACAUGAUUUAAACUAUAGUAUAAAAGUGUAAUUAAAUUAAAGGAGUUUUGAGAUCUAUUAUGCUAGCCAAACAAGGCCCUAAGAGAAGUUGAUAGCAGUUACCCAUGACUGGGUAACUGACCAUCAUCACGUCAGUUUUUUUUAUACGCUUCAAGCGUAUUAUGUUGUUUCACGAAUGCUAAGUUGAGAGCUCAGAGAGAAAAGUUAAGAUUAUUGAGUGUGUGAUUGAAGAAGAAUUGAGAGGGAAUUCAUAUUCUGCAAGUUAUAUUCUACGCUUUGGGUAAUUCUCUCCAACCCAAAUUCCUAUUUUACGUCUUUUUAAGUUUUCAUGAAUAUGGCCUAAGUUUUCUGUGAAGUUUUUGUAGUUGGAAAUGGUAACAAUUAUGUGAUUAUAUGUUAAUAUAUAACAUCAUAGCAUGUUUUAUAUAUAUUAUAUGGGUUUCCAUAUCUUCAGUUUCAUGAAAUUAUACAGUAAAAGAUUUCAGAGUAUGUUAUAUGGCCAUAUGGCCUUAUACGUGUUUUUAGUAUGUCAAAUAUAAUUUAUUUUGAAUAAUUCACACAUUGAUAUGAUUAUGCAUGUUAAAAUGAACAAAAUGAAACUUGAAUGGUUGGAUUUGGCUUUAUAACGAAUCCAUAACAUUAAAAUCCAUGUUUUUGUUCAAGAACUUCAAGAACAUCAAGAACAGUACAAUUUGCAUGCUUUAAUUCUAUAAUUAUAUUUUUUUAUGGAUUAAAAUCACUUUAUAUAUGUUGGGUAAUGAUUAUGUACGAAUUAUAACAUGUGGGUAUGUUUAAUUUGGUGGAAUUAGUGUUAAAGAUGUGAUGAAUUCACUGAACUCUGUGUUCUUCGCGAACUGAGAAUCAAAAUCUGGAGUUUCGCACCGCGGUGCCAACUCCAGAACAGAAACCUCGUGCCGCAGCACCACCGCGCCACAAUGCCAUGUCUUCAGCCGCAGCGCCUCGGUGCCGCAGCGCCAAUACCCAGUACAAAAGUGUCGUGGCAGCGCCACUUAGCAGAAUGGCCGGAAAUGAGUUUUUAAAAAUGUUUAAGUGUGGCAAUGUGCUAUUAACUUAAUCUAAUGAGUAUAAAAACUUGUUAAACAUAUAAUGAGGUGUUAAAAUGAAUUAUUAACAUGUCCAUAACACAAUUACGUGUGGAUUGAAUGAUCGAAUGCAUAAUUAGUUUAUUUUUCGUGAAGUCUUAAUUUUACACUAAGUGUAAUAAUUGACUAAGUAUAGUCAUGAAUUCGAGUUAACCAAAGAGUAAAGUUAUGAUGUUAGUACAUUAAUUAUUGACUGGUAUUGUGAACGUAAUUAAUAUGUAGGAUUUAAUUCAAAGAACGAGUUUUAUUAACGUGUAAUCUACGCACAAGGCAUGUUUCUAAACCUUAUCUUGUUAAAUGGAGCAAGUUUCUUACCCUAAACUUUCGUUGAGCAAGUUUCCUAACCCUACUUGUUAUCGUUAUAUAAGUUGAUUAAUUCAUCUUUCGAUAUUGAACAAGUUCUCAUUUUUAUUGAUCAAGUCUGUCUUGUAUAUUAAAGUUUAUUAAUCUUCAAGCAUGAUGUUGUUAUACAAUAAUUAUUCUAUUGUAUACCUUUUGAGAUGUUAUUCAAGUUAAAUAAUCAUUUAUUGUUAAACCUUGUUAGACUAGUGAACCCUUUUUGAUUCGACUAGUCCAUAGUUGAUGAGCGUUCUAAAUUUCAGAACCCCUUGAUGAAUUAUCCAAACCAAACUUCCUUUGGUGCGGACUCGAAUGUCAAACUGAGAUGAACAACCCUGUAUAGGGGAUUAUUUACGCUUUAGCGUUAAGAUAUUGUGCACAGUAUGGUACUAAGGGCUGAUCCCCCUAAGUAAGAGAAGAAGAUUCCAUAGUCUUAUGACUGUUAAAGGUUUCAAGUAAAAACAGUUGACAACCUAGGACAUAGUUCAAGGUCUUAUGACCCUCAAAAUUUCUUUUGAUUCUUAUUAUCCAUUCUUGAUUCAAAAGUUGAGCUUUAUAUCAGAAGUUAUUAUUUCUCUCGCAUGUUAUUAUUCAUUGUUAUAUUUUUAUACUUGUGGGCAAUCGUGCUCAUUCUUGCGUAAUAAUAACAUUGCAGUUAAGAACAAAAGAGCAGACGAACCUUCCACUAGUAAGGGCAAGGGCAAGCUUAGCAAGUAAUGAAGACUGAUUAUUUAUGUAAUUAUGUAAUGAUAGUUAGACUUGAUGUUAAUUAAGACUUAUUUGUUUAUGUUUUCCGCACAGAUGAUUUAAGGUUAGAGUAACCUGGGAUUUAUUUAAUAUUUAGUUGAUGUAACCACAUAAGGGGAGAGAUUUUAUUAUUAUUUCUUUAUAUUGCAUGGUUUGCAUUUAUUUAUGGGUAGAUAGAUAGAUGAUGCCUGUACAGUGAACACCAAAUCCUGUGGAAAUGGAAGUACCGGAUUUGGGGGUGUCACAAGGAAGGAUCGUAGUGUGUUGAGUAGCACUUCCUCGGAGUCGUAGUCUACUGAGGAAGUCAUGUUUAGAAUCGUAGAGAUAGCCUACCUACGAGCCGACUGAGCAUCUGCCGAAGCCAAGUCAAGAAUCGUAGACUACACUCAGAGUCGUAGAGUCUAUUGAUCAUAUCAAGGCAGAAAUCGUAGUCGAGCAAGAUCAGAUGAAGACAACAAGCACAACGACAGAAAUCGUAGAGUGUCAAGAUCUGAUCUCGGAGUCGUAGUGUCUGCACAGCCGAAGCUGAAUCGUAGAGUGUAGAACUGAGACUUCAACAGAUAUGCUCACAACGCCAAGGCAGAAUCAUAGAGCUAAUACGAUUCUCAACAAAUGAGAACUCCCAGAAUAUCCAAAGGGAUGAAGCCUCUAGUUGGUACUGCAAGGAUACAUCCCACCUGAAGGAAACCAGAGCACUCAACAAAUGGCAUGCAAGCUAACAGAAGAUCUAAGCAUCAACUCAAUCAGCAUCCAGAUUGAGUUGUGAAGUCAUUCGAGAGGAAGUCUUCCACAAAGAUGAUCAUAAGAAGACUUCAGUAGCUGACUAAGGAAAGUCCGUAUGUACAGUAGCUGUCAAAGUGAUAAGAUGACAACGAUCUUGGAAGUAAUCAGGAUCAUAGUGUUUGCCAAACAAAGGAGGAACUGAUGGAGUGUACACAGAGAUAUUGGCCAGCUUCUGAAGAACAAGGAUAAAGUAAUUAAGCAUUGGGUCAGUCCAUUAAUGAUAAGUGAACGGGAGAUCACAAGGAGAAUGCGAGCUGGACACGCCACAAAUCUGAAGUGUCUUGUUGUUCAGAAGGGACCAAAACGAAGAGUCAAGCCAUCAGUAUCCGAGAACAGUCGAGGCAAAUAGAAGUAUUGAGGCACUGCACAAAAGAAGAAAGUGGUGUUCUACAAUGAAGAUCCAAUGAACAUCCUUUUAAAGAUCGUAGUGAUGACUCUACAUGGUAUCAGUCAACAAGACACUACGAUCAGGUUCGAGAAGAUGUGCAUCAGAAUCGUAGAGUUCGAACAACUAAGGAUUAAAUCAUUGGCAAUGAUUCAAUCUGAAGGUUGGUAUUAGGACAAAAGCUUAUUAAGAGCAUCGAUGCAAGGACAAUCUCUGAUCGAGAAAUCAGAAGGAGGAAAUAAAGUCGUCGACCUACGCAAGACAUCAAAGUAACAUAUCUGACGGAGUAGGUGAAAUAGUAGACUGCAGUGUCAAAAAGUCAGAAAAAGUUGACAUGUCACAUCUACAGUCUACACCAAACAACUCAAGAUCUGUGAAGUAAUUUGAAUAGCUUUCAAUGACUACUUUCUAACGGGAAGAUUGGGAAGCAGUAUAAGUCAACAGAGCUUCAAAGAUCAAGAGUUGCUGAUGAUUGCUAAGUUGCAGAAUUGUUGAGUUAUUGGGAAUGCUAUUGUUGACUCUAUGAGUUCCACCAAAGAUCAACAUAAUAAGUCUCAGUGACAGUGAGACUACAAAGGUGGAAGUGAAGCAGCUUUGAAGAAGGACUUAAACAGAUUAGAGCUUCACUCAACAAAGAUGAGAAUGCCACUGAAGAUGGCAGCCAAGCUAAGAGCCGAGAAGGCAAAAGAGAUAGCAUUCAGAAAGGUGGCAGAAUACAAAGAAGAUCAAGAGAGCCACUCUACAGAUCACCAUGAACCAAAAGAAGAAAAGGAACAGAAGCAGAAUCAUGUCUGCAGAACAUUCAAGAAGGGUUCAAGGAUUUCUAAGUGUCAGGCGAAGUCUACCAAAAGCUCAGAGACUAGGCAAAUCUAGAUGAUGAUGGUGCACAACAGACAUCAGAUAAAGAUAAGCAAAAAGGAGUAAAGAUCAGCUACACCAAACAAGAUGUGGUUCAGACUCGAAGAAGAAUGCAGAGAAGACCACACCAAGCUGCUAAUUACAGAAGAUGUUCAGAGCUUAAAGACAUCUUAGUAGCUCAACAACAACAACUACUACAACAACAAAAAGACAGGGCCUGAAGGGUCCUUGUCCGGAGGGACUAAAUGAAGUUCUAAGCCUGUUGGGCUUGAAAAGUUCCUAGGGAACUAGAGAAGUUCCAAGGCUGUUGGCCUUGAAGAGUUAUUAGUGAACUGAAGUCCCAAGGCUGCUGGCCUUGAAGGAAUCUUAGUGAUUCAGGGUGCUGCCCUUCCUUAGUGGAAAUCCUGCUAGUUGAAAGUAGAAGAGUGGAUUAGGAGCUUGAGUCUCUGAACCACUUAAAACCCCUUGUGUCUUUUACUUUAUGUCAUUUACAUUAUGUACAUUAACUGCUAUAACUGCUAUGUAUGUCUUAACUGCUUACUACUAAACUAACUCUACGAACAAUGUAUGUAUGGUUAAAAAUAUAUCAAUGAAGGUGAUCUUUUACUUAUUCCGAUGUGCUUGAAAAGAUUCUUAUGUUUGUCAUAUGCUAAAUUAUUAGCAAUACAAAAUAAACCAUAAAAGUAUUUGAAUUUAACAAGGAUCUAUUCAGCCCUCCCCCCCUUCUUGAUCUAUUAUGCCUACUGGGAACUAACAAUUGGUAUCAGAGCAGGUUCUCAUGCUAUAUUCAAAAGCUAAUCGCUUUGAGUCUGAUCCUAGGCACAAACAUUGUUCUAAACUUAGUUUAGUAGUAAGUCACUUCUUGUAUGCAGAUGAGCUCACACGUUGGAAAUAUUGUGUACAGGUAAAUGUGUAUAUACACCUGAAGCUGCUCAGAUUGGUCCAUGUUCUUGAUUGUCAUAUCAACAAGGCCAAUCCUUGCUCGCGGUCAAUCUUGUAGUCUGAAGAUUAGGCUAGAAAGCACAAAAGACAUCAACAGAAAAGAGUCAAACAUCCACCAGCCUAAAAAGUUGAAAAGGCCACACAUGCUAAGAAAUGGUUAUCCAGAGAAGAAAGAAAAUCUUCUUAAACAUGUAUCUGGCCAACCAGCAGCUGGAUGUAAACCUUAUGAACUCAAGGAUGUCAAAGAACUAAAGAUGUUGAUAUUCUCUUAUCUUGCAUCUUCAAAGACCACGACUGAUUGAUUGAAGGUCAACUGGAGCAACUAGCUGUCAGGAGCAAAUGAGAAACUAUGCACAUCAAUGCCUAAAACUCAGUAUAUUUAAGAUAAAUGACUGUUAAGAAACUGACAGUAAAAAGGUACGGUUCCUCGCUAAUAUAAAUAUGUACAUCGUAAUUGCACCCCUUUAUGAACUAUAACAGCAUUCUUUCAGGGAAUCAUAAUCUACCUAAAAAGGUUAAAGAGAGAAAGUACACUAAGGGGUGGAAACUCAAAUGCCUAUAAAAUUUCUCUCCAUUCAAGUUUUAGGUUGUAGAUGACAUCGUGAAAGAAAUCUGAAAUCGGUCAUAAGAGCAUCACAGGUAAAAUUAAUCUUAUGUGAAGUAAUCUUUGUUGAUGGGUUAGUAUAUAUGUACAACCUAUGGUCUAAGUGUUUAAUAACACACAGAGUAUGAUCAGUUCUACAAGAGUAUGUUGAAGAUUCAUAGAAACUGAUCACCUCCAUGAAUUAACCAGAUACUAAUAAAUCGUAGAAUUGAUUCUCACUCUGUGAACAUUUAAACCCUGUGAACAUAACCUAGCAAAUGAUGAAACCAUCAAACACAUUCACCAUCAUGCAUCUCAAAAUGUAUUAUCUAAACUAAUUACAUGUAUGAAUAUGACUGUUGGUGAUCGAAAUGAUGAUUAUCCAAAUAUAUGAGGAACAGGGGUUUAGAAAACUAACCUAGCAAGACCUAUUUAACCAUGGGUACCAAAAAUAGAAAUUCAUAACCUGUAGGUUCUUGGUUUAUCUAGCCACACUAAGGAGUGCUGAAGCAGAUGACUUCAGUCAAGAAGAUUCAACCAGCAGAAGGCUUAAGACUGUUCAGAAAUGUUUCUGAUAAAACUUCUAUAUGUCAAAGCCUAUCCUUGAAGACCUACUGAGCUAAUCUAAAUGAAGCUCACAUGAAGAUUUAAUGACUUCAGCCAGGAUGAGAUAUGCAUGAUUACCUUCUUCUACACAUGAAGAAAAGGAAAUCACACCACACUGAAAAGACAGUAUCAAUCAUGGGGGAGCAGUGAUCUGCUAAGGGACAACAUCACCAAGAUAUUCUAUGAAGCAAUAUACCAGCUACAAAGUCCCAAAACUUUGUGGCUGAUGAACCAAAUGAAUAUCCAUAGUCAGUAGGAACGUCUCAAAACGUACUACUGAUAACCUAUUAGCCACCCAACUCAAAAUCGUGGAGUACCUAUGAUCAAACACCUGAUUGUAGUGUAAAUACAAGAGGACACCACAAUUACAGCCAGUGCAAAUGUCUAAAGUUGGAAGAGGAACUCCUCAGCAGAAAAUGUCAAAUGAGAUAUCAGUGCAAAUCACUUUUAAAAGCAUUUCAUCUGGAAAGCGUCUCAGGGAAAAACCUUACCCUUAGCUCACUCUAUGAGGUUAACCCUUCUUAAGCUACCUUAAUGAAGAAGGAUUGCUUUGUCAAGUUCAUCUCAAGGACUAAGACAGUCAACAAUCGCAGAGUAGAGUUUGAGAGAACUCAACGAUCAUGAUGUAACCUCAAUGAUCGUAGUGCAACCUCUCUCCCUCCCAUUUUCAAACCCUAGAAUCCUCUUCGAAGCUUAAAUCAAUUAAACCUCCAAAACCCAAAUCACAAUCAGCUAUCUCUCACAAAUCUCUCCGAAUCAUAUACCCUCAUCCCUCGAACUAUUCAAAUGGAAGAUUGGCGAGUAAUUACUAGCAUUCAGCUCGGAACCAAGUCUUUUGAGAAAUCCAAAAAGAUGUUCAGAGACAUUCUUGAACUUGUGAAGAAAGCUGGAUUCUCAGAUUGUCUUGAAGCUAGCACUCGAGUAUAUACUGAACUGGUCAAGGAAUUCUACUCAAAUGCAUCCAUAAAUGUCGGAACCCUUUCAACCAAGGUUAAAGGUCAGUCUCUUAAGCUGAAAUCAUCCGAUAUCAAUCAAUGCUUAGGUUUUUCUGACCUAGGACUGAGAGACCUUGAUGAGAUCGACACUGAGCAAGCAAAGGAGAUUAUGGGGUACCAAAGGAACCCUAGUCUGAAGGACAUAAAGAAAAAGGAGUUUCAUGAGGAAUUCGAGUUCCUUACUGAGAUAGUAGGCAAAUGUAUACUAUGCAAGGAUACGACACAUGACACUGUGCUUGAUCAACAACUGAAGAUUAUGUCUGCAAUAGUUCUGAAGAAGCGAAUAAACUUUGGAGUUAUCUUGUUUGAUCAGAUCUCCAAAUUGGUAGAAAAGGCUGAGUUGAAAACGUCUACAGAAAAUAACUUAGAAAAGUGUUUCAUGGAAGACUGCUAAGUAUUAUGAUGAAGAACAAGCUGGGAGGCAAAAUCAAGGAUGAUAAGGGAGAACCUCUGAAUGUUCACAAAGUAAUGUCUCCACAACUGUUUAUGAAUUGGAAGAAAAACCCCAAGGAGAACAAAAGGUUAACAACAACAGGGAGCAGCAGAAAGAACUCUACGAAAAAGAGGAAGGAGAAAGAGGUGGAAAGUUCUGAGUCUAGUGACUUAGCAACGGUAGCAGCCACACCAGCAAGGAAGAAAUCCAAAGGUGUGAAAAAAACUGAGGCCUUACCAAAAGGUCUCUCCAUGGAAGACAAGGAUGAAGAAGAAAAAGUCCUGACUACAGAAACCACUAAAAGGAGAAGUAACAUACUACUUCAAGGGCCAUCAAGAAAGAGAGCUAAGGUGGAAAACAAAACAGCCCCAGUUUCCCAAGAAAGUACAUCUGACGAAAAGGAGAAUGUAGAGUUAUAGGAAGAAAAGGGAACUAACGAUCUCAAGAUCAAAUCCCCAAAGAACGAAUCCAGCAAUGAAGCUGAAGUUGGAUUAAUGGAAGAAAAUGUAGAAUCUGCUGAUGAAGAAAAGCUACAAGAUGACCCAACUGCAUCUCCAAAUGCAAAUGAUCCAACAAGUCUAGAUGAUGGGUUAAAUGAUGUUGUCUCUAAAGGAGAAGGACAUGCACCUGCCAAUGUUGAAAGUCAAAAAAGCUUGCCUGAUGAUUUGAAGGCCUCAGAGUAUAAAGAGGAAGAAGAGUCUGACGCUCCCAUAGCUGAACCCCCAAGGAGAAAGAAGAGCUACAGAUUACUUGCUUAAUUUGCCUCCAAGAAGAGAAAUGAUCAAUCUACUGCAAUCAUUAAAUUAAGUGAUGAUGAAUCUGAAUCACAGGAAGAAAGUGCUGAAGAUGGGACUAGUAAUGAAGAGGAUGAAUCCAAGGAAGAUGUUGCUGAAGAAGGCUCUAGUAAUGAAAUUCAGCAAGAAGAAUUCACUGAUGAAUCUGAUGAAAGGAAUCAGCAAGAUUCAAGUUUAAGAAGUGAAGAAUUGAAGAAAGAUUUUGUUUCUGCAAAUGAGGAAUUAGAAGAAUCAGCAAACUAUCAUAUCAUCUCUCCAAUAAGGAUUAACAGAAGCAGGAUAGUGAAAGGCUCGGAUGAAUCACAAUAAGUAUUUCCAGAAAUUCCAAGCCUAGAACAGGUGUCUCAGAACUUCCCAAAGGUGAAGAACUAUGGAACAAUGAUGAUCAAAGACCAGCCCCACUACAAAAUCUAUAGACAUGUUGGCAACCAUUAUAUUCCCUACGAUCGUAGAGUGGACUCUAAAGGCAGAAGGAUUAUGGCCAAGGAAAUAAACGUAGAGUCUGUUCACUCUACCACUGAUGGUGCUCAAGUCCAAAAUGAAAAGCCUCAUCUGCUCAAACACUAUUGCCCAACAUUCCUUCAUCCCCCAAUAGCGAUUGGUACUCAACGAUUUUUCAGAUUCUCAACACUUUCAAAAAUCUAUUAUAGGAUGAAAAUUGUAGAGUCCAAUCUGGUGUUCAACAAGAAGUUGUCCAACCAGAUGACCAAAUUCAUAUGGAGAAGGAGCUGAUGAAAAAUUCUGAUGAUCUGAUUGAGAAAAUAUUGCUAAUCACUGAAGAGUCAAAGAGGUUGACAGAAACAGAAGAUAACUCAGUUCAAGACAGAAUCCAGGCCACCGUGGCUGAUGUAUCUCUCAAAAUCAAAGAGAGAGAUCACAUUUAUCUGAAGGCCAUACAUGAUCAGAAGGUUAAAGCUCUACGAGCACAAAAGGUCAAUGAAGAGAAACUCCAAGUCCUCUCUGACAAGAUUGACAACCUGAAUCAGUCUUUCUCCAUGCAAUUUGAGCUGAGCCAACAAGAACUCAAGAUCGAAGUUGGUAACUCCUCCUACCUGAUGGAACAACUUAUGUCCAACAUGAAGCAGCUCUCUCAAGUGAUUAAUGACAAAAAGGGGGAGAAAAAGAGGCAUAGAAAGAGGCUGAGUAAGAGGCACUCAAGAAAAAGCAAGAUCAGUAGAAGAAAAGAAGAGAAGAAAACAAAGAAAAAGACAGCACAAGAAGUAGCUGAGUCAUCAUCUAAGGGGGAGCCAAAGGAUGAUGAGCCUAAGGCUGAGGGGGAGCCAGAAGAAGAAGAGGAGCACACAUCUGUAGAGGAGCGGACAAAAGAAAUGAAGUCAACAUCCCAGGGGGAGCAGGUGCAAGAAGAUCAAACAGAUGAAUAGCUGAUCAACAGACUUCCUAGAAGCAUACAUGGAGCCAAAGAGGAACAUCUCUAACUAGUUAGGUAUGUUCUGGAUCUAGGAUAUAAAAUUUCAGUGUAUGUAAGUAAAUUAAAUUUCACAUCACUAUAAAUGACAUUCAUGAUUAUCUAUUUUAGAAAUACAAUUGCUCACUAUAUAUAAAAUUCAUUCAUAACAUGCAUAUGCACUUAUUAUUUUUGUCAUAAUCAAAUAGGGGGAGAUUGUCAGUGUGAGACCCCAAAUUUUAUGAAUAAAGAUUUAAAUUUCUCGAAAUAUUUUUUUCAAAAUUAUGGUGUGGAUUUGAGAUAAUGUUAUAGUUGUGGGUAAUAUUUAAAAAAUUUUAAAAGUAUGCAAGUUGUUGUAUAAUAUUCUUUUGUUCGGGGAAUAUUCUUUUUGUCGGGGAAUGUCCGUACGAUGACACAAUCAUUGGUGGACCCCACAACGGAAUUAUUGUCGAAUUGAGAAAACGACAAAAAUAUUUUUAUGAAAAUAACGGCGGAAGUUUUACCGUUAAAACUGUUGAACUACUCGGUAGUAAAAGUACAGUAAUAUGCGUGGUUGCAUAGUAGCACACGGUAUUGAUUAUUGAUGCUUACGUGAGAAGUAACUCAGUUUUGAUCAAUUAUUGCUACAGUAAUUGCUGCAUAGUAUCUCACGUUAUUUGAUUCAAUUAUUGUCGAUAUUUUAUAUAUUAUUAAAUCAAUAAUUGAGAUGACAGAGUUAUUAAUAUUAUUAUUUGUAAUAUGAACGAUGUCUGGAAGUUCUGCUAAGGAGAGGUUUGGUCACCUAAUUGCGCGCCAAUAGGGAGAAAUUCUUAUUGGAAAUCCCCCUCUUUCCUGGGAAUGAACUGGUCGAUUAAUAUUGUGAAUUAUAAUAAUGAUGAUAAAUAUUGUUAAAUAUAUUGAGGUGUCUUUUUAUGAAGUCACGGAAGUUUAUAUAUAUAUAUAUAUAUAAAUUUUGUUUUAUUAGUAUUAUUAAUAUAAUAAAACAGAAAAGCUUUUUAUAUAAAACAAAAUACUUUUAUAAAAUUAUUUGUUUUAUUAGACUAUAAAUAGAAUAUAUUAUAUUUUAUUAUACAUAAUGAUUGCAUAGUGCCUGCAUAGUGUUUGCAUAGUAAAAUCUUUUUAUAUAAAACAGAAUACUUUUAUAAAGUUAUUCAUUUUAUUAAAUUAUAAAUAGAAUAUAUUAUAUUUUAUUUAAAAGAUUUUGUUUUAUUUGAAUAUUUUAUUUAUACUGCAUAGUAAAUCAAUAUGGACCGUCUAUUCAAAAGUAAAUCAAUAUGGAUCGUUCAUGAAUUAGUUACUAUUCAGUCCAUUCUCCUAUAAAUAGAAGCUCAUUCCUUCAUUAUUUCUUACGAAUUCACUAAAACUCUAGAGAGAGAAACUAUAGAGAGAAAGAAGAAAAAUAUUCUGCUACUCACUUUUCCAAUAUCCAGCUUCUUCUAAGGUAAGAGGUAUUAUUCUUUUCUAUUCAUGAAGAGAACUUCUGUUAUUCCAUUCUUUAUUAUUCCGUUGGAAUAACCUGUAUAUGCGGACUACCCUAUAAUUGGUGAAAUUCUUCUGUUAUUCCAUUCUUUAUUAUUAUGUUGGAAUAACCUGUCUAUACGAAGUACCGCAUACAUGGUGAAAUUCUUCUGUUAUUCCAUUCUUUAUUAUUAUGUUGGAAUAACCUGUCUAUACGAAGUACCGCAUACAUGGUGAAAUUCUUCUGUUAUUCCAUUCUUUAUUAUUAUGUUGGAAUAACAUGUCUAUGUGAAGUACCGCAUAUAUGGUGAAAUUCUUCUGUUAUUCCAUUCUUUAUCAUUAUGUUGGAAUAACCUGUCUAUGCGAAGUCACGCAUACAUGGUGAAAUUCUUCUGUUAUUCCAUUCUUUAUUAUUCUGUUGAAACAUCUUGUCUGUGCGUUUACGCAUGACCUGGUUCCAUUAUUUAUUAUUCUGUUGGAAUAUCAUGUCGGUGCGUAUUACGCCUGACCUGGUUCCAUUAAUUAUUAUUCUGUUGGAAUAACCUGUAUGUGCGGUCUAUCACAUGCAUGGUGAUUUUUGUUGUUAUUCCAUUCUUUAUUAUUCUAUUGGAAUAUCCUAUCGGUGCGAAUUUUUCCUGACCUGGUUCUGUUAUUUAUUAUUCUUUUUGAAUAACCUAUUUGUGCGGUCUAUCGCAUGCCUGGUGAUUUCUUUUGUUAUUCCAUUCUUUAUUAUACUCAAUUGGUUAAAGUUUUGACUUCUAUACUCCAUGAAAUUAGUGGACUAUCCUUGAUAUUUGCACUUCAUCCAGUAUCUUUUAAUGGAAAUAUUCUUCUGAGCAUUCUUGAAUUUUACUCUACAAAGAAGUAUCAUGUUGACAAUUUGGACGUUAUUAGUUCUUGGAUAAAUUAAUUCUUGAACUUGUUUUAUUGAAUUCUUAUAUCAUUGUCAUCAUCCUCAUGUUUAUAUUAUGUUGAAAGUCAUUUGUGGCCUGUAGUGCAUAGAUGGACUUGAUAUGAUUAUGACCAGGGAUUAAUUAGUAUAAUCAUGACCGUAAUGUUACGAAUGAUGUGGUAAAAGUCCUCAUUGGCCCGUAGUGCAUUCAUGGACAGUUGUUGGCAUGAUCAUGACCAUUGAUGAAUACACGAAUAUCCUUGGCCCUUAGUGCAUGGAUAAUUUGUGGUUGUGAUACUAAUGAAUAUCCUUGGCUGUAGUGCAGGGAUUAUUUAUUAAGCUGACUCCCAGCGAUAAAAGUGAUGAAAAACCUUUUAAAUCAUAAAAGAUGGUAGAUUUUAUUCUCUACUUGACUCUUUUAAUGGAUUGCUUGUUCCGCUGUAGUUAAACUUGAUGUUUGUUAUAUUGUAUCAGUUGAACACUGUUGAAGGCUAACGAUAAUUUAUUCUGCAUUAUCUUAGUCAUAAUAUUUCUUACUGGGCUAGUUGAGCUCACCCUUUCUUUAACUGUUCUCUUCAGGAAAUGGGAACGUAGCUGGGACUAGUCAGGGAACGGAG
rnacentral:lncRNA from 1 species